rnacentral:rRNA from 1 species
GACGCCGCGUGCGGGAUGAAGGCCUUCGGGUUGUAAACCGCUUUCAGUAGGGAAGAAGCGAAAGUGACGGUACCUACAAAAGAAGCACCGGCUAACUAUGUGCCAGCAGCCGCGGUAAUACAUAGGGUGCAAGCGUUGUCCGGAAUUAUUGGGCGUAAAGAGCUCGUAGGUUGUUUGUUACGUCGGAUGUGAAAACCUGAGGCUCAACCUCAGGCCUGCAUUCGAUACGGGCAAACUAGAGUUUGGUAGGGGAGACUGGAAUUCCUGGUGUAGCGGUGGAAUGCGCAGAUAUCAGGAGGAACACCAAUGGCGAAGGCAGGUCUCUGGGCCAAUACUGACACUGAGGAGCGAAAGUCUGGGGAGCGAACAGGAUUAGAUACCCUGAUAGUCCAGACCGUAAACGGUGGGCACUAGUUGUGGGGACCUUCCACGGUUUCUGCGACGCAGCUAACGCAUUAAGUGCCCCGCCUGGGGAGUACGAUCGCAAGAUUAAAACUCAAAGGAAUUGACGGGGCCCCGCACAAGCAGCGGAGCAUGCGGCUUAAUUCGACGCAACGCGAAGAACUUACCAAGGCUUGACAUAUAGGGAAAGUGGCGCAGUUGUCAUGUCCGCAAGGGGCCUAU